rnacentral:lncRNA from 1 species
AGAUUCCCUCUUGUCUGCCGCCAUGGAAGAUGUGUCUUUCACUUUCCACCAUGAUUGUGAGGCCUCCUCAGCCAUGCGAAACUCUGUCAUGAGAAGAAUAUUCCCUGGUUGCUGGUAACCAUUAGCCUGAUCUCUGCAAUAUGAUGAGUGCAGCAGGCCUGCCACCUGGCAUCAAUCCCAAUCACCCACAGCUGGAAGCAGAGUUGCCCCAGACCUGUGAGCAAGAAAUCAUGCUUAUGCCAGAGACAACUGAGAUCCUGUUUGUCACCAUUGAAGCAACAGUAGGUUAACUCAGUACCCCACAUACAAUGUGGUUAUCUCAAGGGUACAUGCCAAGCUCUCACAUUUGGCUUGAGGUGGGAAGGCAGCCCUCUCCUCCCCAUCAUCAUGGAAGGAAGACAGAUGCAAAGCAUAUGUGAUUCUCUCUAAAGAUCUUCAACCUCGACUCUGCAAAUCAUUCACUGUGAUGUCACAUAACAAGUUUUUUGAAGUAUCUUUUGUAAGUCUUGCAUAGAUGGUCCAGCACCUCAUGUUGAAAUGUGGAGAUUCUGGACACGUUGCUUUACUUAAGGUGUUUUGCAAAGUUUUUUUGUAUUUUUAAAAAAUGUAGUCCAAUAUGUCAUUCUUUUGAAGGAGUUAAAAAAAUUCUUAUUUUAGGCUGGGCGCAGUGGCUCAUGCCUGUAAUUCUAGCACUUUGGGAGGUUGAGGCAGGUGGAUCACUUGAGGUCAGGAGUUCAAGACCAGCCUGGCCAACAUGGUGAAACCCCCGUCUCUACUAAAAAUACAAAAAUUGGCCAGUGUGAGCCGGGCGCGGCGGCUCACGCCUGUAAUCCCAGCACUUUGGGAAGCCGAGGCGGGCGGAUCACAAGAUCAGGAGAUUGAGACCAUCCUGGCUAACACAGUGAAAUCCCGUCGCUACUAAAAACAAAAAAUUAGCCGGGCAUGGUGGCACGUGCCUGUAGUCCCAGCUACUGGGGAGGCUGAGGCAGGAGAAUGGCGUGAACCCAGGAGGCGGAGCUUGCAGUGAGCCGAGAUCGCGCCACUACACUCCAGCCUGGGCGACAGAGGGAGACUCCGUCUCAAAAAAAAAAAAACCAAACGAACAAACAAAAACAAAUUAGCCGGGUGUGGUGGCAGGCUCCUGUAAUCCCAGCUACUUGGGAGGCUGAGGCAAGAGAAUUGUUUGAACCCAAGAGGUGGAGGUUGCAGUGAGCCGAGAUCACACCACUGCAAUCCAACCUGGGUGAAAGAGUGAGACUCCUUCUCAAAAAACAAACAAACAAAAAUUCUUAUUUUACUCCUGGUCUGAGAAACUUGGACUCUCCUUCCAGUUAUCCCAUUCCUAACUGGGCAGCUGUGGGCAGGUUACAUAACAAGUUUGAGCCUCAGUUUCUUUAUCAGUAAAAUGAAGUAAGACUAUGCAAUUCAUAGAGUUAUUGUGGGAGUUCAAUGGAACAUUACUUACGAAAGCACCUGGCAUAGCACCAUGCACAGACAGUUUAAAACGUUCCGCGAGAAAGGUCUGCCUUCAUUUCUAUUCUAGAACAGAGAUGUUCUACCUGUUUCCAAACUGCAAAUGAAUAAAUAAAGUAACAGUUUUAAAUUUAUGUUUGCAAUUAACAAAUGACUUUAAAGAGUAGCUUGAACAAGAGGAUGAAUUUGCUAGAAAUCUAGCCCAGUCUUUCCCUUUCAUGUUCUGUGUUGGAUGCUUUUACUGUGUAGGCAGCAUAUCGCUUAUUUAAGGUAAACUAAGAGCCAGGAACAAAAGUGAGAUUUAGAUUUUACUUCCUUUCAGCCACUCCCAAAUCCAGUCCUGUAUAAACAUAACCAAAAUGUAAAUGUUGCCUACGGCUUUCUGGGAAGAUCCUUUCUGAAUAUAAAGUACCCUGGGUAGACUGAUCAUUCUGAAAUAAAACAAAGAAAAUAUA